rnacentral:rRNA from 1 species
UGGAAAGGCGUGCGAUACAGGGUGACAGCCCCGUACACAAAAAUGCACAUAUUGUGAGCUCGAUGAGUAGGGCGGGACACGUGGUAUCCUGUCUGAAUAUGGGGGGACCAUCCUCCAAGGCUAAAUACUCCUGACUGACCGAUAGUGAACCAGUACCGUGAGGGAAAGGCGAAAAGAACCCCGGCGAGGGGAGUGAAAAAGAACCUGAAACCGUGUACGUACAAGCAGUGGGAGCCUCUUAAUGGGGUGACUGCGUACCUUUUGUAUAAUGGGUCAGCGACUUAUAUUCUGUAGCAAGGUUAACCGAAUAGGGGAGCCGAAGGGAAACCGAGUCUUAACUGGGCGUUAAGUUGCAGGGUAUAGACCCGAAACCCGGUGAUCUAGCCAUGGGCAGGUUGAAGGUUGGGUAACACUAACUGGAGGACCGAACCGACUAAUGUUGAAAAAUUAGCGGAUGACUUGUGGCUGGGGGUGAAAGGCCAAUCAAACCGGGAGAUAGCUGGUUCUCCCCGAAAGCUAUUUAGGUAGCGCCUCGUGAAUUCAUCUCCGGGGGUAGAGCACUGUUUCGGCAAGGGGGUCAUCCCGACUUACCAACCCGAUGCAAACUGCGAAUACCGGAGAAUGUUAUCACGGGAGACACACGGCGGGUGCUAACGUCCGUCGUGAAGAGGGAAACAACCCAGACCGCCAGCUAAGGUCCCAAAGUCAUGGUUAAGUGGGAAACGAUGUGGGAAGGCCCAGACAGCCAGGAUGUUGGCUUAGAAGCAGCCAUCAUUUAAAGAAAGCGUAAUAGCUCACUGGUCGAGUCGGCCUGCGCGGAAGAUGUAACGGGGCUAAACCAUGCACCGAAGCUGCGGCAGCGACACUAUGUGUUGUUGGGUAGGGGAGCGUUCUGUAAGCCUGUGAAGGUGGCCUGUGAGGGUUGCUGGAGGUAUCAGAAGUGCGAAUGCUGACAUAAGUAACGAUAAAGCGGGUGAAAAGCCCGCUCGCCGGAAGACCAAGGGUUCCUGUCCAACGUUAAUCGGGGCAGGGUGAGUCGACCCCUAAGGCGAGGCCGAAAGGCGUAGUCGAUGGGAAACAGGUUAAUAUUCCUGUACUUGGUGUUACUGCGAAGGGGGGACGGAGAAGGCUAUGUUGGCCGGGCGACGGUUGUCCCGGUUUAAGCGUGUAGGCUGGUUUUCCAGGCAAAUCCGGAAAACCAAGGCUGAGGCGUGAUGA